rnacentral:rRNA from 1 species
CCUACGGGGGGCAGCAGUGGGGAAUAUUGCACAAUGGGGGAAACCCUGAUGCAGCGACGCCGCGUGAGUGAAGAAGUAAUUCGUUAUGUAAAGCUCUAUCAGCAGGGAAGAAAAUGACGGUACCUGAGUAAGAAGCCCCGGCUAACUACGUGCCAGCAGCCGCGGUAAUACGUAGGGGGCAAGCGUUAUCCGGAUUUACUGGGUGUAAAGGGAGCGUAGACGGCAGUGCAAGGCUGGAGUGAAAGGCGGGGGCGCAACCCCCGGACUGCUCUGGGAACUGUACGGCUGGAGUGCAGGGGAGGUAAGUCGAAUGCCUAGUGUAGCGGUGUAGUGCGUAGAUAUUAGGGGGAACACCAGUGGCGAAGGCGGCUUACUGGACUGUAAUUGACGUUGAGGCUGUAAAGCGUGGGGAGCAAACAGGAUUAGAUAAGUC